GCCAACUAUGUAGUAUGGGGUUCUGUUAUUGUUGAAGACUGUACAAUUGCCAAUGCUUAAAAAUCCAUAGCAUUUGAACUUGCUGAAAUCCGCAACAUUUAACCUUUGAUGGGUAGUUGGCAAUCAUACCACAGCUCUUAUCUUUAUAUUGUUGACGAUAUCCAUAAUUUUGAUAUUGUUAUUAAAUGAGAAAAGAAGAAAAAAAUCUAUUUGUGUGUAUUUUAAUUAAGUAGAUGUUGCUUCCUUGAUGGACAUUUGUGUUUAUUAGUAUCCAC
rnacentral:lncRNA from 1 species